UGUGUUGUCGACAACUUGAACGCAAACAACUUUGGGAUUGCUUUGCUAAAUUGUUUCAGAAAUCAUAUUUGAUGUAACUAACGAGUAAUAACAAGAAGGUCUCUUUUAAGAGCUACUGAUACAGUAGUUCAUGGUCUGAUUGGAGGCUUCUCAUUUUGGCUAACUUGUCUUCUGUGUCCUGACCUGGUGCUGGAUGUAUCCUAUUUACUUUCCUGCCUUGGACUUGGACAUGAGAGAGAUAGGCAAAGAAGAGUGUUCUUAGAUAUGCCUAUUGACACUAUAUACAACUUUGGUGUGGCGUUCAUGCUUUCCUGUGUUGUGGACUUGGACCAUGUCAUGAAGGAUCUUGUGCAAAUAAUAAUGGGUGGAUCACGUGUGCCUUGGGAGAGAGGUUGUCUUCACUUUUCCCUGCCACCACUCCUUCUAACUCUUCUUCUAUACAUCUCAGCUCUCAUUGUUCAUUACAUGUGGUGUUUGAAAUUAGGUACACUCAUUGUGGUUUGUAUUUUUAGCCACCAGGUACGUGAUGGGAUGCAUCAUGGUUUGUGGUUUCAACCUCUAGGUAUAACUUCCCGGCUUCCUCAGUGGCUGUACAUAUUUAUAACACAAAUUUUGCCUCUGGUGAUCAGUGCACUGGUCUCCAUACUUGUAUUAAGAGUAAAAUUAAAUGUGAAUCUGUCAAGAGAAAUGUAUUUUGUAUAGUACAGGUUGUACCUCUCUAGUCCAGCACUCUGUGAUCCGGAAACUCCCGUGGUCCGGCACGAUUUUAGUUUGCCCAAUAGCCAACAUCCCUGAUGUAAUUUGAAUGUAAUUUUAGUUACAGUACCAUCACUUCACAUUGGAAGCAGAAUUAUGGUCGCAUUAAAGGUAAAUUAAAUAGUAUUUUAACUGUA
rnacentral:misc_RNA from 1 species